UACGGAGGGUGCAAGCGUUAUCCGGAUUCACUGGGUUUAAAGGGUGCGUAGGAGGGCAGGUAAGUCAGUGGUGAAAUCUCCAAGCUUAACUUGGAAACUGCCGUUGAUACUAUCUGUCUUGAAUACCGUGGAGGUGAGCGGAAUAUGUCAUGUAGCGGUGAAAUGCUUAGAUAUGACAUAGAACACCAAUUGCGAAGGCAGCUCGCUACACGAAUAUUGACUCUGAGGCACGAAAGCGUGGGGAUCAAAC
rnacentral:rRNA from 1 species